rnacentral:rRNA from 1 species
AUUGAACGCUGGCGGCAGGCCUAACACAUGCAAGUCGAGGGGUAUAGUUCUUCGGAGCUAGAGACCGGCGCACGGGUGCGUAACGCGUAUGCAAUCUACCUUUUGCAGAGGGAUAGCCCAGAGAAAUUUGGAUUAAUACCUCAUAGUAUGUGAGAAUGGCAUCAUUUUCACUUUAAAGUCACAACGGCAAAAGAUGAGCACUGCGUCCCAUUAGCUUGUUGGUAAGGUAACGGCUUACCAAGGCAACGAUGGGUAGGGGUCCUGAGAGGGGGAGCCCCCACACUGGGACGGAGACACGGGCCAGACUCCUACGGGAGGCAGCAGUGAGGAAUAUUGGACAAUGGGCGCAAGCCUGAUCCAGCCAUGCCGCGUGCAGGAUGACGGUCCUAUGGAUUGUAAACUGCUUUUGUACAGGAAGAAACACUGGUUCGUGAACCAGCUUGACGGUACUGUAAGAAUAAGGAUCGGCUAACUCCGUGCCAGCCGCCGCCGUAAAAC